GUCUGAUGAAUUAAACCUGAAUUUAUGAAAACUUGUACUCUCUCUCUAUAUAUACCUUAGUUAGCCUUUAAGGUUAUACCCUAUAUAUACCCUACCUUCUGGACUAAAUUCCACUUAAUCAGAAAAGCAUUUAACUCUUAUCUGGGCAACAGGCUUCCACUGAUUUCAAGUGUUGAACUGUCUUUCCCUUGAUUUCAAGGGUAAGAAACAUACCUAUCAUGGAGAAGGACACUGAGCUACCUUGCAGAAAAAAUCUGCAGAUUAUUACCAUCUCCUCUGUGUGGGGGACGGUACAGGGGUGGUAGAGAUUGGAGAUUGUUGUAUCUUCAUUUAAUUGAAUUGAGCUAUAACCCAACAGAAUCAAGAAUCCUAACCACAGAUUUUAUAUGUAUGCAAUAUUGAUAAGAUUUUUGUUUUUUACUACUGAAGUGAUCCUUCCCCAUCUCCCUGUAUGUGGAAACUGGGAUUUCUAGAAAGUGAUUCCUGAGUUUGAGUGUCUCCAUUUCUAGGUUUUGGAUGCUUCCAAGGGGCUACUUUUUGCUUCAGGAAAUGGUUGUUCAACCCUUCCUGAGAAACAGGCCCUUUAAGACCGGCCCAUUUCCGUAAACUGGCUUUUUUGUAGAUCUUGUCCUGAGCAACCUUUCAUCUCAAGUUCAACCACCUUUACAGUGGACAGUUGCAACAAUUGCAAUUUGAGGAUUAACACAAGGGCUAGUUUGCAGAAAUGCUCUGUGGUUUCUUAUUUCUGUCAAUUAGCACAUCAUAGUUUUAUGAACCCUGAGGGCUCUGCAGAUAAUUUUGUUUACAAAUUAAGUGUUUCCUAUUAGAUAGUAAUGAUACCCGACAGUGAGAUGGAAGAACUGAAAUUGGAAGCAAAAUGCUGGCCAGAGGAAGACACACAAAUACAAAGCACAUCAACAAUAAACAGGUGUUCCAAAGAAAUACACUGCCAAGCAAAAUAUGGCUUUGCAUUUUUGCAGAUAAUUCUGGUCUUUGAAAAUGCUUGAGCUAAUGUAUAAUUGACUGCUUCAGAACAAAAGAAUGCCAGACUGUAGGACCACAGACUGCCCACAUCAGAGUUGAGCUACAAAGGAAG